rnacentral:rRNA from 1 species
UACGUAGGGGGCAAGCGUUAUCCGGAUUUACUGGGUGUAAAGGGAGCGUAGACGGCCAGACAAGUCUGAAGUGAAAAUCCAGCGCUUAACGUUGGAAGUGCUUUGGAAGCUGCCGGGCUAGAGUGCAGGAGGGGCAGGCGGAAUUCCUAGUGUAGCGGUGAAAUGCGUAGAUAUUAGGAGGAACACCAGUGGCGAAGGCGGCCUGCUGGACUGCAACUGACGUUGAGGCUCGAAGGCGUGGGGAGCAAACAGG